rnacentral:misc_RNA from 1 species
GAUGAAGAACGCAGCGAACUGCGAUAAGUAAUGUGAAUUGCAGAAUUCAGUGAAUCAUCGAGUCUUUGAACGCACAUUGCGCCCUUUGGUAUUCCGAAGGGCAUGCCUGUUCGAGCGUCAUUAUCACCCCUCAAGCCCUCGGCUUGGUGUUGGACGGUUUGGUGGAGGCCCCCUCGGGGGCUCCUGCCCCUCCCAAAGACAAUGACGGCGGCCUCGUUGGACCCCCGGUACACUGAGUUCUUCACGGGACACGUAUCGGACACAUGGGUUUACGGGACACGGUCUGCCUCCCCUCAGGGAGAAUCUUUCUAAGGUUGACCUCGGAUCAGGUAGGGAUACCCGCUGAACUUAAGCAUAUCAAUAAGCGGAGGA